UCCCUUAUAGCUCAGUUGGGAAAGAAUCUGCCUGCAAUGCAGGAGACCCAGGUUUGAUUCCUGGGUCGGGAA
rfam:Ovis aries breed Texel chromosome 2, whole genome shotgun sequence.